UCUGAAUUUAAGCAUAUUAAUUAGGGGAGGAAAAGAAACCAACAGGGAUUCCCCCAGUAAGGGCGACUGAACGGGGAGGAGCCCAGCGCGGAACCUCGCGCGCCUGACCGGCUGCGUCUGAGGAAUGUCGCGUUUCGGAGGGGCCUUCUCCGACCACACCGACCCCCCCCAAGUCCGCUUGAACGCGGCCACUACCCAUGGAGGGUGCGAGGCCCGUACGGGGAUUAGGAGUCGGGCGGUCGGACGGCCCCGUCCGUAGAGUCGGGUUGCCUACUAACGCAGCCCAAAGCAGGUGGUAAACUCCAUCCAAGGCUAAAUACGACCACGAGACCGAUAGCGAACAAGUACCGUGAGGA
rnacentral:rRNA from 1 species